GACGAACGCUGGCGGCGUGCUUAACACAUGCAAGUCGAGCGGAGCGGCGAACGGGUGAGUAACGCGUGAGUAACUGCCCCCCUCUCUGGGAUAACAGUUGGAAACGGCUGCUAGUACCGGAUAGUGGGGGAUGACUGGGGGCCUAUCAGUUUGUUGGUGGGGUAGUGGCCUACCAAGGCGACGACGGGUAGCCGGCCUGAGAGGGCGACCGGCCACAAGGGGCUGAGAUACGGACCAGACGGCUACGGGAGGCAGCAGUGGGGAAUAUUGCGCAAUGGGGCAAAGCUUAAUGCAGCAGCGCCGGGGGUGGGAAGAAGGCUUUGGGGUUGUAAACCGCUUUCAGCUAAGACGCGGUAGUGGCAGAAGAAGCACCGGCUAACUACGUGCCAGCAGCCGCGGUAAUAC
rnacentral:rRNA from 1 species